GAACCAACUAAUCCGAUUGCAUUUAUCUGAAAAAUCAUAUAUCCAUACCGGAAUCGUAAUUUAAUAGAUUUCAUAGUUAUCCAUUAACACCUAUAUGAGGAUCCAAUAAAGGUUGAAUAUUAUUCAUAUGAAAGCAAUUUGAACUUCACAUAAAACAUAUUGGAUAUCAAUUGUCUGGCCGAUUAUCACAAAAUCAGAUAAAUGGUGUAUGAUUGUAUAAUGUGAAAAAAAUCCUAUUAUCUGUUUAUCUGCAGUCGACCAUGUCAGUCAUUGCACAGUUUGCUAGUGAAUCUUUUUGUCUGAGUUGUUGCAAGUUUUGAAAGGUACGUUGUAAAAACAGUUGAUAGCUAAUAUUUAUACAGUAUAAUAUGUUUUUCUUCUAUUACAGAAUGCGGCAUUACUCUUUGACCCUGCCUCAUAAUUCUUUUUCUAAAAUUGCAUUCCAACGAUAAAUUGUAUGCUCAUGAUUAAGGAAGCAGCGUGCCACAAUAUGUUCAGCAGAAGCAUUCUAGGUGAUGGAUCCGAUUGGCCAUAUGGUCAUUGAUACCGGGCCCCAAAGAGAAGCGGUCAGACGAUAGCUUCGUCCUGAGGGAAGAAGAAGAAGAUACAUCCGAGCUCUAACCUUUUGCUCCCUUUUCUUCGCUGUUGACUACAUCUGGUAAACCAAAUGAAAUUACCUUAGUAGACUACUCUGAUAUGACUGCUAUGUACCUCAUGAAAUGCUAAAUAAAUGUGUUCAAUGGUAAAACUGCA